rnacentral:lncRNA from 1 species
UUGAUAUGGAUGUACAGUACAGCAUGUUAUGAGAGAUUAUUUGAUAGGUUUCUACCUAUGAUAUAUAUCCACCUGUGACCGCGCAGACGUUGUAUAUAUCUGUGAUUAUAAACUGGGUUGGUCGAGCCCUGAAUGAUGAUUGGCUGACAGCSGUGGUAUAUCAGACAGUAUACCACGGGUAUGACAAACAUUUAUUUUUACUGCUCUAAUUACGUUGGUAACCAGUUGAUAAUAGCAAUAAGGCACCUCGGGGGUUUGUGAUAUAUGGCCAAUAUACCAUGGCUAUAUACCACGUUGCGUCGUGCCUAAGAACAGCCCUUAGCCGUGGUAUAUUUUCCAUAUACCACACCCCCUCGGGCCUUAUUGCUUAAACAUAAUGUUGGUAAUAUUGUAUAUCUGUGAACAUAAUGUUGGUAACAUUGUACAACAUAUACUGAUGUGUAAGUUGUUUUGCGGCAAAUACCGGUUCUCAUUGACUACUUCAAUGUUUUGUUGUAUUUCUUUUCCAGCUAUUACAAUUAUGACUUGUUAAAUAACUCACAUGUGCUACGUCAUUAUUAUUCAAAUUACAUUCAACAUGGUUUCUUUAAAUGUUAAACUACUAUUGUGCAUAUAGUUAAUCUGUUUAUUAAUGCUAAUAAAACACAUUGCAUGAUAAUAUCAUUCAGUUGGGUUUGAAGGCCUACAAUAUGUAAAGUUGGUCCUGCAAAUAUGUAAUAAAACCCAGAGGGGAGGCAGAGGCAARGGGGUAUUAUCUCCAUGUCCCAGACUGCUUUGCCUCACCCUCCAGGCCUCUUGUAUCAGUAGGACUGGAUAGAGCAGGUCUAGGACACCAGCCCCUACCACACCAACCACCUCUCCUCUGUGUGAUCUGAUCCUCAGGGGCCUCCGUAGUUCACCCUACUAGCUCACACCGUCUCACGUCAGAAUUAGACGUUCAUCCAUGUUUCUCAAACGUCACAUUUCAAAGUGUUUGAGGUUGUUAAGUUUAGGUGUUAACUCCAAAUUCUUAAGGUUAGUCAUUCAUCCUGAAUGGUUCAUGCAACGAUUAAGGUUAGGCAUUCAUCCUGAAUGGUUCAUGCAACGAUUAAGGUUAGGAUUCAUCCUGAAUGGUUCAUGCAACGAUUAAGGUUAGGCAUUCAUCCUGAAUGGUUCAUGCAACGAUUAAGGUUAGGCAUUCAUCCUGAAUGGUUCAUGCAACGAUUUAAGGUUUGGCAUUCAUCCUGAAUGGUUCAUGCAACGAUUAGGUUAGGUAUUA